CACGAAACCAGGCGAGCUACUGUGAGACUUAUAUUAGUAGUUAAUAUGUAGCACAAUAAAUUUGAGAUCUCACAGUAGGGGUGACAGGCUAAUCAAGUCUGGUGAUAUCUUGUUAACCUUGAAAUAUAUAUAGUAUAUAGUCAAUUUAUUAGUGAUAAGGCUAAUAGAAACUAUAUAAUUUGAUUUUUCCGAAUGUUACGCAGUUUAAUCGCUAAUAUCUUAAAACCGUAAUAUUAAUAUCUUAUAUUAAUAGAUCAUAAAGGUUAUUAUGUAAUUAUAAUGAUUAUUUAUUUUGUGGGUAUAAGUAGUUGAGAUACCGUUGAUGAACUCGGCAAUAUAUCCUUCACCUGUUUAUCAAAAACAUCGCCAAUAGGAACUAUUACUGGUUAAUUCUGCUCCAUGUAAUAUAAAUAGCCGCAGUACCUUGACUGUGCAAAGGUAGCAUAAUCAUUUGGCUUAUAAUUGAAGUCUCGUAUGAAUGAAUACAUGGGGGAUAGCUCUAUUUGCGGUACUUUGCGAAUUUACUUAGUGGGUGCAAAUUCCCACUUAUAAAUAAUAGACGAGAAGACCCUAGAAAUUUUAAUAAUAUUAAAAUGUAAUUUUUGUUGGGGCAACAUAGUAGCAUUGAAUCUACAAUACUUACACGACAUUUUUUAGAAAGGAUAAAUUACUCUAGGGAUAACAGCGUAAUUUAUAAGAGUUUGCGACCUCGAUGUUGGACUAGGAAACAGAUACUUAAAA
rnacentral:rRNA from 1 species